rnacentral:tRNA from 1 species
GCAGAGGUCGCCUAGUUAGGUAGGGCGGGUGUUUCAUAAAUGCUGUUCCGCCAAGGAAUCGUGGGUUCAAAUCCCACCCUCUGCG